UCAUAUGUUUGUCUCAAAGAUUAAACCAUGCAUGUCUCAGUAUAAGUCUUCUCAGGGGGAAAAUGCGAAUGGCUCAUUAAAACAGAUAUAGUCUAUCUGACUGUCGACACUUAUAUGGAAAAUGCGGAAUUUGGAGAUAAUACAUGCGUAAAAACCCCACUUCUCGGAAGGGUUUUUUAUUAGAUACAGAACCAAUGCCCCUCGGGGUUUUUGGAUGAUUCUUAAUAAAAAAAUGGAGCGCUUAAUUUUUGCGGGCGCUAUGUCAUUCGAGUUUCUGACCUAUCAGCUUUGGACGGUAGGGUAUUGGCCUACCCGGGCAUUAACGGGUAACGGAGAAUUAGGGUUGGAUUCCGGAGAGGGAGCCGCAGAAACGG
rnacentral:rRNA from 1 species